rnacentral:rRNA from 1 species
UACGUAGGGUGCGAGCGUUAAUCGGAAUUACUGGGCGUAAAGUGUGCGCAGGCGGCAGAGCAAGUCGGGUGUGAAAGCCCCGGGCUCAACCUGGGAAUUGCAUUCGAGACUGAAUAGCUAGGGUACGGUAGAGGGAAGUGGAAUUUCCGGUGUAGCGGUGAAAUGCGUAGAUAUCGGAAGGAACAUCAGUGGCGAAAGCGACUUCCUGGACCAGUACCGACGUUCAGGCACGAAAGCGUGGGGAGCAAACAGGA